rnacentral:lncRNA from 1 species
UGAGGGUGAAACGGACCGUCCCCAUACCCCGUCCGGUAUGAGCGCCAAAACACAUAAGAUCUCCAUACCCCGUCCGGUAUGGGAGACCACAAUCCCAGUAGAGUUCCCUACGGACCCGGUCCGUCCACCAUCUCCCAGGAUAUCUAGUCAGACUGACCACAUUAUACAAUUACCAAUUUACAUAAUCUUUUAUUCUCUUUUUCCUCAGUCAGCAUCAUCAAUUCACAUACAAACAAGCAAAACAGUAAUUUAUGCCAAACGGAUAACAUACAGCGUCAAUAUCCCAGUCAUUCAAUCCAUAAUUAAUAAA